CUUAUAAAAGUGAAGCAGAGGAGUCAGAUGACAGAAGCAGAGAGACAGGGAGAAUGUGAUUUGAAAACGCUCUACCACUGGCUUUGAAGAUGGAGGCAAAGGGCCGUGAGUCAAGGGCCUCUACAGGCUGCUUCUGGAAGCUGGAAAGGACAAGAAAACAGAUACUUUCUCGGAGACUUCAUAAGAACCAGGACUGCUGGAACCUUAACUUCAUCCCAGUGAAAUAUAUACAGAAUUUUGGCCUCAUGAACUGGCAGAAUCCCAAAUGGGAGUAAAACACUUAAGGCUGCUGGUCUGGGGUGGCAGGAUCCAGGAGGAAGAUCAAAGGGCUUCAUAAAAUAAAAGGUUGCCAACCUA